AAUGGAUUUGAAAUUAAGCAAUCAAGAUUUGAUUGAAGUGUAGACUUUCAGUUUUAAUUCAAGGGAUUUAACAAAAGUAUUGCAUUAUCUGUUUAUGAUUUACAGCUUUUUUUUUUUUUUACAGAGUUCCUCCAUUUUCACAGGCUCAAAAGUAAUUGGACAAUUGACUGAUAAGCAGUUUCAUGGUGUGGCCUGUUUCCUCAUUAUUUCAUUGUAAAUUAAGGAGAUGAAUUUGGAGUGGGAGUUGAUUCCAAGCAUUGAAUUUGCAUUUGGUAACUGUUCAAGGGAACGCUCAUUAUACUGUCCAAAGAGGUGUCAGUACAAGUGAAGGAGGCCAUCAUUAGGCUGAAAAAGCAAAACAGUCCUAUCAGUGAGAUAGCAGAAACUUUAGUGGAGUGGCCAAAUCAACAAUUUGGUAAUGUACAUUCUUAAAAAGAAGGAAUGCACUGGUGAGAUCAGCAACAUCAUAAGGCCUGGAAACCACAGAAGACAACUAAAGUGGAUGAUAUCAGAAUUCUUUUCUUGUUGAAGAAAAAUCCUAUCACAACAUCUAGCCAAGUCAAGAACACUCUGAAGGAGGUAGCCGUAUCAUUGUCAAAGUCUACAAUCAAGAGACACCUUCAUGAAUGUAAAUAGAGACGGUUUAUGCCGAGUUCACACUGCACGGUUUUCAAAGUCGUCGGAUCAUCGUUGUUGUCACACUGCACGACUAUCUGGGGUAGCAUUCAGUCGCUGCUGUGUUCACAUUGCACUAUGGAUCGGCGACAGGAGGUUACACAGUGCAUGACUUUACAGUAGAAAGAAUCGCCGACAACUCUUUCUGGCUCGCAAACUAAGUUUCACACCCAAACGCACGCGAGAAGUGAUAAGGAAAUAACGCAAGAUCGCACUUGAGAUCAGAGUUCUCGCGCGAGACUGGAAAUGGUACCCCGCAAGAAGUUCGCGAUCCAAAUGGUCUGUGCGCUGAUUUGCAGCGAAAGGGCAAAAAAGAAAAAAAGAUAGUGGAGCAGGAAAUGGUUGGGGAGACGCGGGGAACAAGGAUUGUGCGUUCUGCAAAGAGAGUUGGAGACUGGAUUCAAGAAGCUUCUUCGGAUGACAGCAGAGGAGUUUGACAUCCUGCUUGGGAUGGUUGGACCUGUCAUAACCAAGCAGCACAGACAGAUGAGACGGGCAGUAUCCCCAAAAGAGCGCCUAGCUGUGACCAUACGGUUUUUGGCAACAGGCGAAACGUUCAGUUCCCCCAGUUUCCAAUACAGGGUAUAAGCACUAUUUCUAACAUCGUUAUGGAGACCUGUGCUGCUCUCUACCGGGUCAUGAAAAAAGACUUCCUCAAGACACCCACAACAGAGGCAGAAUGGCGGAAAAUAGCACAUGACUUUCAAUCUAAAUGGCAAUUCCCACAUUACUUAGGUGCGCUUGAUGGUAAACACAUCCGUAUACAGCCUCCAGCAAAAAGUGGUAGUCUUUACCAUAAUUACAAGUCCAGCUUCUCUGUAAUAAUGAUGGCUGCUGUGGAUGCCAAUUACAAGUUCAUCUAUGCCAGUGUGGGUACCCAAGGUAGAGUUUCUGACGCUGGACUGUUUGCUCAUUCAGACUUGUGCCAAGCGAUGGAUCAAGGCCUGCUGGUUAAGAGUUUUUAGGAGCACCAUAUGCUUGGAGCCAGAGAAACUAUGGCCUCCCUAUGCAUCCAUAACUUUCUCCGUGAGCGCAGGUCUGAGGCAUACACGCCUCCAGCCUUUGCUUGGAGGAAUCAAGGGAUCGAGUCUUUCCAAACAGUGGAUCAUCGAAGGGAACGCAAUGCAUCUGUUGUGGCAAAAAUGCAACGAAACCUUCUGCGUGAGUAGUUCGUCUCACCUGCCGGAUAUGUUCCUUGGCAGGAGAAACACAUUUAGUGUUGUAAGGAUGUCAGAGUGUAACUUUUUGUAGUGGAGAAAACACUGCGUUUUUUAUUAUGAUAUUUCAUAUUGUAGCACAAUGUCAUUUUUUUAUUUUGAAGAAGAAGAAGAAAAGUGCCUUUCUUAAAAAGCAUGGUGCUUCUGUUAUUGAUAUUAGCCUUUUAGGCACAGAAUGCUAUUUAUAUACUGUAUCUUCAGACAAUACAACUUGGGUGUACUUUAAAAUCAUUGUUUCAAAUAUCAUGUAAAACUGAAGACUUGACGCACAUACCUCCUGCAUGUGUACUGUGAAUUCUGCCUGUUAAUGAAAAUAUAAAAUAUAUUUUCUGAUUAUUUUCCACAUUCGCGGGGCUGUCGCAUUACCCUGUGGCUUGGCUGUCUCUUGGGAGGCCGCCUGGUUGGCCUCUGACGUGAAUUUCCCUUGGGAGGCCGCCUCGCUGCCUGUGUUCGGCCGAUACACAGAUUGAAGCCUUCCUCCAAAAGAUUUUUUGAGGGAGCCCAGCAUAGAGCUGGCCAUUGGUUCUCCUGGAUCUGCUUGGCCUGGUCAGACAUGAUUUGAAUAAACUAAGCUGCAUCCAUGGUUAGGUCUAACAUUUUGUCAUGGAUUCUGCACAUGCGCAUGUGCAGAGUAUUUUAUUUAAAGUGCAACACACGUGAACAAGGAUUAAGACUACGUAUUAGAAACACAGACAAACUGGACAGGCAUGAAAUGUACAUGACCAAGGCAUGGAUAUAACAAUAGACAAAGAGAACUAUACAAAUGUGACUUAUAUACUCAUGCUCAUUGUGCAUAAAUGUUUCAGGUGUUUGUGAUCAUGUGACUUGUGUGAUGUGAACAUGUGGUGUGCAGUGGCUGUAGUCCUGCACCACUGUCAGUGCUAACCUGAUAAAAAGCUACUUUAACCACACUUUUAAAGUGGCUAAUGGUGCUGUUCUACUAUAGUGAACUUCAAACAUUCAUGCAACAUUUUGGACUGAAAUUGCAGUACAAAAAAACGAAAAUAGUGAGUAGUGUUAUUACAAGCUAGCCAGUGGACAAAAGCAACCCAGUGAGCACUGGAAGAUGUCUGGAAAAGAUCUCGAACUCUACUAUAGAUCAAGUUUUAUUUUAAUCAUCUUAUUUAGGUCGUAAGAAGGUCUCAGAGCACUGCCUGUGUCACACGCUCACUGACCUGCCUGAGAGCUCACCUGCACCAACAGAAUCAGCAGAUCAACUGAAAUUUACCUCAGACUGAGCAUUAGCUAACCUCAGACUGCUCAGUCUGAGGUUUGUAUUAACUAGUUGUAUAACUAGUAUUGUAUUGCUAACUAGUGUAUCUUUCUAACCUAGUCAUUUUCGAUAAAGCUUUUAGUGGUGAAGAACAGUGUUUUUUCUUUCUCUCGCUUUCUGUAUGUUUGUGUGUGUAGGUGAGUCAGUCAUGCUCCACAACAGGGAUUUUAUAUCUAUAUAUUAACAGUUAUAUUUUUAUUGUUUUAUAUACAUACAUACAUUAUAUAUAUAUACACACACACACACACAUAUAUAUAUAUAUAUAUAUGUGAAACCAUCUAUAAAAGGUCUACCAUCUAUAAAAGCUAUAAAAGGAGCUCGCACCCACGCUACCAACAGGAAGGUAAGUGAAGUAAAUAGUCUUCACUAACGGCUAUCUCCCCGGCGUUCACAGACGCAGCUAUAAGUGAGGACGGCACUCUGUUGCUGCUUUAAAAGCACCCUGCUGCCGAGACUUCACUGCCUAUACUCAGCCUCACUCCCCACACUUCGCCCUUUCACCAUUCCUCACUCUGCCAACUUAAAAAAUAGAAAAUAAAGAACGCAUCCCCUGCACUGACUGCCUCUGUGAGUGUGUGUUCAGCCUUUCCUUGAUCCCGCAACGUCACA